rnacentral:rRNA from 1 species
AUUGAACGCUGGCGGCAGGCUUAACACAUGCAAGUCGAACGAAGUGGCGAACGGGUGAGUAACGCGUAAUCAACCUGCCCUUCAGAGGGGGACAACAGUUGGAAACGACUGCUAAUACCGCAUACUGAAGGAGGGGUUUGCGUCUGAUUAGCUAGGUGGAGGGGUAACGGCCCACCAAGGCGAUGAUCAGUAGCCGGGCUGGGAGGGUGGACGGCCACAUUGGGACUGGGAAACGGCCCCAGAGUCUACGGGAGGGAGCAGUGGGGAAUCUUCCGCAAUGGGCGAAAGUCUGGCGGAGCAACGCCGCGGGAGUGAUGGCGGCCUUCGGGUUGUAAAGCUCUGUUAAUCGGGACGCGGUACCGGAAUAGAAAGCCACGGCUAACUACGUGCCAGCAGCCGCGGUAAUUC